UUUUCCAAGAAUUUCGCCCCAGCACCCGCCCUGCCUCCCAGUGAAGAGAGCGGCUUUGAGAGCGUCCGCCCGGCUUCUCAGACGUGUAGGAACGGGGAGGACGGGGCUGGUCCGUCACAGCAGUAACCCAGUGAGGGGAGCUGAACUGAGAAAGUGAGUGACUGUCCCAAAGGCCUGCUCACAGUAUCUUGAUUUCUAGCCCAGUGCCCGAACAACUAAAGAAAACUUUAUCAAAGGCCAUGUCUCAAAAAAAAAAUAUGAAAACUUAUGUUCCUCCAAAGAUUGCUGAAUUACAGCUCUAGUUGCCAUGGUCAAUGGUGACAGCCACAUAUCUCCAAUUCUACAGUAUAACCGUUAGAAUGGAUAUUUAAACAACAAUAUAUAAAAUCACGGUAAGUGUCAAAGAAAAAAAAAGCAAGACAAACCAGAGAUCUACAAACCAACCAUCAAUCAUUCUCUCAGACUGACUCCAGAAAUAAGUACUGCAUACAUAUACUUCAUGGGUGAUUGUAAGUCUGCCAUUAUCUUUUAUAUCAGUUAAAGAUAUUUUAAUGAGAAACACAGUGAAAUCUUUUUGUACUUUACAGAUCUGAGCCUACAUAAACUAACAAUACUGAUUAUUUAAUUGAUAUGUGAUGUUUCAUCCACAGUCAAGAGAAAGGUAUGAUUUCUAUCUUCUAUUUGCCUUUAGAUUCAGAAACAAGAUGCAACUCAUCCUUAGCAGCAUUAUGGGUUAUUUGGAUUAAUAUGAGAAAAGACUGGCAUAAAAGCAAGAAGAAGAAAGAGUUACUUUAAUUAUUAAUGAUUCCUGUUGAUUUUGAUUCAGUUAGGCCCAGGAGCAAGUGAAAAACUGUUCUUUUAAAAUAAAAGAUGUUGGUUCUAAGA